UAUCUUUGACUUUGUACUUAGGAUUAUUUUGCACUUUUUUCUUGAAAUAGUGUGCUAAAGCAUUGGGAGUAGCUCUUCUAUUCUGAAAUGCUAGACCACAAUCAUGAUUUAUGUUCAAAGUCUUAAUCUUAAAUCCUUGAUCUAUAUUAUCCUUGGAUAUAUAACACACAAAUGGACAUCCAAUAUCACAUUUGUACCUAACUCUAGUUGUAUCACUCUUCUUGACUCUCAAACCCUUCCUAUUAGCAACUACAUAGUACCCUACAACUCUCUUAGCUUCAGCUAAGUCUUUAAAACACAUACCCUUCUCCAAGAUUUUAUACUUGUCAAGUGUGUCAUUAACUUCUUUGUUCAUUUCUCU
rnacentral:lncRNA from 1 species